rnacentral:rRNA from 1 species
UUGUGAGUUUGAUCCUGGCUCAGGAUGAACGCUGGCGGCGUGGAGAAGGCAUGCAAGUCGAAUGGGUUUAGACCCAUGGCGAACGAGGUAGUAAUACAUAGAUACGUACCUUAGAGUCUGAGAUAAUCCAUCGAAAGGUGGGAUAAUAUCAGAUGGUCCCGCAAGGGUAAAGAUUUAUUGCUCUAAGAUCGGUCUAUGCGCUAUCAGCUAGUUGGUGAGGUAAUGGCUCACCAAGGCAAUGACGGCUAGGGGGCGUGAGAGCGUGAUCCCCACCGAUGGCACUGCGACACGGGCCAUAC